AUGUUUACAUGCUUGCCAUCAUAUCUUCUGGUCCUUUUUGGCUUAUGGUCAAUUCAUGCCAUGCCUUGUUUUGCCAUGUUAAGUUCCUGUAGCAUGUUGAUUUCGUGCUCUGGACAUUGCUACCUAAUGUUAUUUCUGCCAUGUCCAGUAAUUCUGCCAAGUCUGUGA
rnacentral:rRNA from 1 species